GGUCUACAUCUUCAACGGUGGAUGGCCCACCUAUGAACGAGCAACGCUGGAGAUUCUGAGCUCGUUGGAUCAGUCGGUCUUCAAGGAAACCAGACCGAGAACCAUCUCUUUCCAGCUCAAUAAUAUUUGGGAGGCGGAUACUUCGGUGAACGAGAUCACCAAUGCACUCAACUGCAGGGUAGGGGGCUACACCGUGCACACAAUUGGUACCGAGUUCAAUGCUGGAGCAUUUUGGAGAGAAAUAGCCCUGCCGAGCGCUGGUGCAUUCGAGUCGGGGACAUCGAAUGCGGCGGAUAUCAGAAAUCCUGUCCUAAGGAUGGCACACCGCAUCUUGGCUUAUACGGUGCUUGCACGGAAGGACAACACUCAUGUGACGCAGCAGGAGCUGUUCAUGAUUUGGGGGAUGCUCACACGCACCCCAAUGGAUUUGACU
rnacentral:lncRNA from 1 species